UACGGAGGGUGCGAGCGUUAAUCGGAAUCACUGGGCGUAAAGGGCGCGUAGGUGGUCUAGUAAGUCGGGUGUGAAAGCCCCGGGCUUAACCUGGGAACUGCAUUCGAUACUGCUAGACUAGAGUAUGGUAGAGGGAAUCGGAAUUCCCGGUGGAGCGGUGAAAUGCGUAGAUAUCGGGAGGAACACCAGUGGCGAAGGCGGAUUCCUAGACCAAUACUGACACUGAGGCGCGAAAGCGUGGGGAGCAAACAGG
rnacentral:rRNA from 1 species